CCCCCUGCUAUCCAUCCAAAAAAGGUACCGCCAAAUGAAAUAAUAUUUCCCCUCUCUUUUUUACCCCAAAACAUUUCCCUCUCUUAUUUUUCCCCAUUUAGAAAGAGAGAGGUAUUCUCCAUCCAUCAAUUAGAGAGAGGGAGGUACUCUUCGUCCAUUGAUGACAAGAGGUACGUCGUCCAUUGAUAGAAACUCUGAAAACACAUUGAUAGGAGUUACGUUCGCUUCCAGCUCCCAGGUAAUUACAAAGGUUUGUUAGAAGACUUUCUGGAUGAUGGGAUUGUAUCUUCAUGUGUGCAUUUUUCCUUAUCUUAUCUGUUUAUUUUUUGCAAGUGAAAGUAUUGUUUCACAAAAUGGUACCAAAUGGGUACUGCAAAACUUUUCAUGAUUUUACAUAUCUAAAGAAUUCAAAAAAGAUAUAACUUUUCAAAGUUCCAUUAGGUUUAGCUUCAUUUGCAACUUGUGUUUGUGAAUCUGAUAAAUGUUGUUUGGAAUAGGGUAACUAUUAUACUAAGUUCCUGCAAGAUGUCUUUUUUCUGUUAGGUUUAGGUUAGGUGGGACUACUCGCCAAAUUUUUGGUUUUUAAGGAAAGAAACAAUGAAUGAACAAGGGGUAUUAGACCUGGUCUUCAGUUUGAAUUUGCUGCUAUUUCUGUCACUGAUUCCUAUUUUCCUAAUUAGGUAAUCCUAACCUAAUUAUAUGAAAGAAAGAUUGUUCCUUGUUACUAAAACUCACCUUACCUUACAACUAUAGGACAUAAACAUAGAUUGUGGUCCAGUUUCAAAUUUUCAGGUUCAUGAAUAUUUGAGACCAAAGGUGAAUUGCUCUCUCCUAGAGUUAGGUGUUUGCGCUUGGUUGGUUUCUCAUUUGUGUCUGAGCUGAUUAAUAAUUUUUUGUAUUGCUAUGCAACUGUGUGAUUUAUAUGAGAAUGAUUCUAUCUUUGAUAAAUUUGAGUAUUGCCUUAGUGGUGAUGGUUCACGAGUAGCAAUUGGAUCUUAUAGGUUCGUAGAGUUCUUCUUUUUUCUUCUCUCCUAUUGCUUCUUGACCAGUGUGAUUAUUUCUUAGUAAAUACUGUCUACUAUUUCAGCAAUCUAUUCUGUAUGUUUAGUUAUGUGUGGUAAGCACGGAAGCAACUACAUUAGAGGUGAGCAAGAACCCCAGGAUCAGAAAUUCCUGGGGAUGAUGCUAGUGGAAGCUCGUAUGAUUUCACAACCAAACUGCUCCACCUUACAUGGCAUCCAACUAAAAAUUCAAUUGUAUGUGCUGCUGUAAACUGCUUGUACAUGUAUUAUGCAUAAGUCAUGAUAGGAGGAAUGGGAUUCUCUUGGAAGAAGGCUUCGUUUCAAAGAAUAAACAAUUUAGCAACUUACUUUGUCAAUAAACCGACGCUCUAGUUCUUGUUCUCUUCUUACCAUAUUCUCCCUCACCCUUGUAGAAAUUCCCUAUGUCAAAUUCCUGGUAAUUGGUUUUGGGAACACAUUUAAUGAAUGAGUUGCGGCAAUUCUUCACUGCCAGCGUGGGAUCUGAUUUGCUAGUAUACCAACCUAUUCCUGAAAUGGCACAUUGAUUUGAAGUAUUAUCCAUAGAAGAGAUUGCUGGCAUCUACUUGUACUUCCUUAUUCGACAUUAUUAUUUCCUCUGUGAUUCAAUCAAGAGCACCAGAACUUCUGUUGGGAGCUGAGCAAUAUUCUACUACGAUUGACAUGUGGUCAAUGGGUUGUAUCAUGGUUGAGAAGCUAUCCAAAGAACCACUAUUCAAUGGGAAAAUAGAAGUUAAUCAAAUCGACAAGAUAUUCAGAAUUCUUGGAACCCCAAAUGAGAUGAUUUGGGAAGGGUUCUCCAAGCUUCCUGGGGUGAAAGUAAACUUUCUAAGGCACCUAUAAGUAUUAUCUUUCUUCUAUAUUCUAUCAUUACUCUUGCUGGCCGGAGGUUCAUAUUUUUAUUUUUGCCUUUGUUUUCCCAAGCUUCCAUCUUUGGGUGAUUCUGGUUUGGCUUGGCUUUCUGGCUUCCUUUAUGACAGUCUAUGGUGGGGAAAUAUUUUCAUUUUUCUGCUAACCAUUUUAUUUAUUUGUAAUAGGUAUAAUAAUUUAAGAAACAAAUUUCAAAAUGUGACAUCCUUCACGGGGUUACCAGUCCUAUCAGAGGCUGGCCUUGACCUGUUGAUUAAGCUUCUAACUUAUGAUCCUAAGAAGUAACUGCUGAUGCUUCUUUAAACCAUGAAUGGUUUUGUGAAGUUCCUCUCCACAAGUCCAAAGAAUUCAUGCUUACUUUCCCUGCACGACAUGCACAAGAUAGGCGUGUGCGAAGAGAAAUGGAGAGUCCAGAUCCUCAUAAGGAGCAGCGAAGAAAGAAACUGAAGUAGGGGUGUUAGGAUCUGGUGGAUUGUUUGGCUGAUAAGUUAAUAAUGCUCGACAACUGUUUUGUGUUUUGCUUUCCCUAAUACUGAUAGGUUGACGUAUAGGUUAGAUCCAUGCGUUGGUAUAGUACUUUAUCUUAAUGACUUGACUUGAAAUCCUAGACAUUUAUUGUACAUUAAUUAAGUAUAGAAUAUAGUGUUCAAAGAAAUAGAAAGAAUCAACUGAUUGAUGGUUCUUUUAGACUAUAGUUAAUGUGGCUAUUUUGUUUCUUA